rnacentral:lncRNA from 1 species
GCAAAAAUCAAAGGUGACAUAAAGCUACCUGCUUCCUUUCCCUGGUAGGAGAGCCCAUGCUGCGGCCACACAGACAGCUUUGGAUGAAUCACAGAAUUCCAGGAACCAGAGAGCAAACCUCACCGUGUGGGCAACGAGCAGAGCAGGAGCUGCCAGAGCAAUGCCGUGACUAAGGAGGCUAAUGUCAUCCUUGGAUGUAGAAUACCUUCAGUAGGAGUAAAGAGGGUGAUGGAGCUGACUCCGUUGGAACUGACUGCUGCUGCCAUUUUUCUGACAGGAUGAAUGAAGUCCAGAGUGUUCAAAGUAUCAGAGGAGGAAAACUUGUGGACUGGAACAGCACACCACACUGACAAAUGCAACUGUCACGUAAGACACAGGACAUUAGAUACAGGAAUCAAACUACAGCCAGCUAUCUGAGGAAAACUCUUCUUCUACCAGGCACUCAGGUUCCCCUAGCAGGAUUUUAACCAACCCUGGAAACCUGGUAAGGAUAUUUCUGCUAGUAGAUCUACACCUGUAGUGUAGGCAGGGUGCAGACAUUUUGCCGCAGUCAAACCAUAUGCAGCUUGAUUACACUUUGCUACAUUCUUGACAGCACUAAAGGAGCAUGAAGUAGCCAUUUUUUUAGUGUAAGUUUUUGUAAAAGGCACAGUACUGAAUGUUCAAGAUCACUGAGGAUCCAAAAUAUAUAUAUAUUGUGGUAAUGACCUUGAGGACAUGGAAAAGCAUGUUAUGUCACUUCAUGACAAAUAAGUAGAAUGACAUUUCAGGCCCUGUUAAUUUUACAAUGUCUUUAAAUUCAAUACAGCGCUAGGUACCAGGCCCCUUCCUACCAUGCUUUGACAGUUCUAAACUAAGCAUUGAAGGCUAGAUAUUAUAAUGCUAUAGCAUCUCCUUUUUUAUCAGUUAAAAAUUAAAG